AAAAAUAAAAAACUAAAAUUUGGGGCGAGGGGGAUUCGAAUCCCACACCUUAUACAUACAAGAGACUUAACAAGCCAAUGGUUUACCACUAAGGAUCAAUACCAAUUCAUGUAUUAAGUUAAAUCAAUUAAAAUAUAUAUUAAAGUCACUUUUAAAAUUUAAAAAUGUCUCCAAACUUCAUCUUCCUCAUUCAUCCCGUAAUCCACAAUUUCCACCAUUUUCACAACUUCUCAAAACUCUAAC
rnacentral:lncRNA from 1 species